GCCUCUGUAGCGCAGUGGCAGAACGCUAGUAUUGUAAACCAGGUCGUGAGUUCAAUCCUCACAGAAGGCA